ensembl:antisense Gm28411 uncharacterized LOC110322493
AGAGCCAUCCUUCCUACUCAGAUCCAUUUGGCAUCGGAGACCCUUCUGAGGACGGAGGAAGGAAAACUCCAGCCAGGUGGAUAACCACUUGGCAGCGUAAGGUGUCUUCCUUGAGGCUGUUGGCCCAGGCUGCGGGAUGGCAGCCUGCUCUGCCAUGGCCCUGUCUGGUGAUUUGGUUGAGAAGCUCUUUCUCUCAAGUGGUUUGUUUCCCUGCCUGGCAGCUGCAGAGAUCCCUCAUGUGUAGAUUCUAUAAGAAGACCGGGAUGUAGAGUGGCACUGGAGAUGGGAGUGUGUGCUGGAGGAGGUAGGAAGGAUACAGAAGGAGAAAGCUCGAGUGUUCUGCAGCACGGGGGUGGGGGGUGGGGAUGGCUACAGCUCACAAGAACCAUCUAGUUUAUGAAUAGCUGGAAGGGAGAAGCUUAAAGGCUACAAAUGCAAGGUGAUGCUAAACCAGGAUG